rnacentral:rRNA from 1 species
AAAACAUGGCCUCCUGGUUGUAUAAGUAUAGGAGGUUUGGCCUGCCCGGUGGGGGAGACCCUAAACGGUCGCAGCUGCCACUGUGCGAAGGUAGCGUAAUAGGUCGUCCUUUAAUUGAGGGAAAGUAUGAAUGGUCGGAUGUUGGAAAAGCUUUAUUAGAAGUAGUUGUUGAAUUUUACUUUUUAGUGCAAAGGCUGAAAUAAUAUUAUUAGACGAGAAGACCCUGUUGAGCUUGUUUAGCUUAUAGCCAUUGGGGCUAUAGUGAUGUUUUUUCGGGGCUGAAAGGGGGGGAGUAAAAAUGCCCUCCAUUUUAUUAUAAGGAUCCAGUAUGGCUGAUAAGUGGAAGAUAGUUACCACAGGGAUAACAGCGCAAUCUUCCUGAUAAGGCCGUAUUUAAAGGAUGGUUUGCGACCUCGAUGUUGAAUCAAAAUUUCUGCUGGGUGUAGCAGCUUGGCUAGUGGGACUGUUCGUCCCUUAAAAUUUUACGUGAUCUGAGUUCAGACCGGA